GGCGCUGUGGUUUAGUUGGUAAAAGCGCCUGUCUAGUAAGCCUGUCUAGUAAACAGAUCCUGAGUUCAAAUCUUAGCAGUGCCU